CCUGGGCAUGGUGCACGCCUGUAAUCCCAAUGGCUUGGGAGGCUGAGGCAGGAGGAUCAUGAGUUCAAAGCCAGCCUCAGCAAUGGCAAGGUGCUAAGCAACUCCGUGAGACCCUGUCUCUA
rnacentral:sRNA from 1 species